rnacentral:rRNA from 1 species
UACGAAGGGUGCUAGCGUUGUUCGGAUUUACUGGGCGUAAAGCGCGUGUAGGCGGGUCUGUAAGUUGGGGGUGAAAUCCCGAGGCUCAACCUCGGAACUGCCUUCAAGACUGCAGGCCUGGACCCAAGGAGAGGCUAGGGGAAUUCCGAGUGUAGAGGUGAAAUUCGUAGAUAUUCGGAGGAACACCAGUGGCGAAGGCGCCUAGCUGGACUGGUGGUGACGCUGAGACGCGAAAGCGUGGGGAGCAAACAGG